AUGCUUCGGCAGCACAUGUACCAAAAUUGGAACCAUAUGGAGAAGGUUAGCAUGGCCGCUGGGGAAGGAUGGCAGGUAAAUCUGUGAAGAGUUCUAUAUUUGC
ensembl:snRNA U6 U6 spliceosomal RNA